rnacentral:rRNA from 1 species
UACGAAGGGGGCUAGCGUUGCUCGGAAUGACUGGGCGUAAAGGGCGCGUAGGCGGCUUAUACAGUCAGGCGUGAAAUUCCUGGGCUCAACCUGGGGACUGCGUCUGAUACGUAUGGGCUUGAGUGUGAAAGAGGGUCGUGGAAUUUCCAGUGUAGAGGUGAAAUUCGUAGAUAUUGGAAAGAACACCGGUGGCGAAGGCGGCGACCUGGUUCAUUACUGACGCUGAGGCGCGAAAGCGUGGGGAGCAAACAGGAUUAGAUACCCUGGUAGUCCACGCUGUAAACGAUGUGUGCUGGAUGUUGGGGUGCUUAGCACUUCAGUGUCGUAGCUAACGCGGUAAGCACACCGCCUGGGGAGUACGGCCGCAAGGUUGAAACUCAA